UACGGAGGGGGCGAGCGUUAUUCGGAAUUAUUGGGCGUAAAGAGCUCGUAGGCGGUCUGUCGCGUCUGCUGUGAAAACUCAGGGCUUAACCCUGAGCUUGCAGUGGGUACGGGCAGACUAGAGUGCGGUAGGGGAGACUGGAAUUCCUGGUGUAGCGGUGAAAUGCGCAGAUAUCAGGAGGAACACCGGUGGCGAAGGCGGGUCUCUGGGCCGUAACUGACGCUGAGGAGCGAAAGCAUGGGGAGCGAACAGG
rnacentral:rRNA from 1 species